GUCCUUGUAGCUCAGUGGAUAGAGCACCGCCCUCCGGAGGCGGGUGCGUCAGUUCGAUUCUGAUCAGGGACG
rfam:Coprococcus comes CAG:19 genomic scaffold, scf31